rnacentral:rRNA from 1 species
UACAUAGCUUAAUGAGGGGAACUCAGGGAACUGAAACAUCUAAGUACCUGAAGGAAGAGAAAGAAAUUCGAUUCCGUAAGUAGCGGCGAGCGAACGCGGAUUAGCCCAAACCAAUAAAGUUUUCUUUGUUGGGGUUGCGGACAUAUCAUAACGAAGAGGUAUCGUAAUUGAAGAGGUUUGGAAAGACCCACCACAGAAGGUAAUAGUCCUGUAUGUUAAACGAGAAGACUUUAGAUAUGAUCCAGAGUACCACGGGACACGUGAAACCCUGUGGGAAGCAGGAGGGACCACCCUCCAAGGCUAAAUACUACCUAGUGACCGAUAGCGUAUAGUACCGUGAGGGAAAGGUGAAAAGAACCCCGGGAGGGGAGUGAAAUAGAACCUGAAACCCUGCACUUACAAGCUGUGGAAGCACAUUUCUUGUGUGACCGCGUACUUUUUGUAGAACGGGCCAACGAGUUACGUUAAGUAGCAAGGUUAAGCACUUAAGGUGUGGAGCCGUAGCGAAAGCGAGUUUUAACUGAGCGUUCAGUUACUUGACGUAGAACCGAAACCGGGCGACCUACCCAUGAGCAGGAUGAAGCGAAAGUAAAAUUUCGUGGAGGUCCGAACCCACGAGCGUUGAAAAGCUCGGGGAUGACUUGUGGGUAGCGGUGAAAUUCCAAUCGAGCCCGGAGAUAGCUGGUUCUCCCCGAAAUAGCUUUAGGGCUAGCCUCAAGGUGAGAGAUACGGAGGUAGAGCACUGAAUGUCCUAGGGGGUAUUGCACCUACCGAAGACUAUCAAACUCCGAAUGCCGUCAUCUUAUACUUGGGAGUCAGACUGUGGGUGAUAAGAUUCAUAGUCGAAAGGGCAACAGCCCAGAUCGUCAGCUAAGGUCCCUAAAUGUAAGUUAAGUGGUAAAGGAUGUGGGAUUGCACAGACAACCAGGAUGUUGGCUUAGAAGCAGCCACUCAUUCAAAGAGUGCGUAAUAGCUCACUGGUCGAGUGAUCCUGCGCCGAAGAUUUCCGGGGCUAAAACUUACUACCGAAGCUACGGCAUCAGUAAUGAUGGGUAGGGGAGCUUCCCAUACGGGUUGAAGCAUGACCGUAAGGACAUG